rnacentral:rRNA from 1 species
GCAUAUCAAUAAGCGGAGGAAAAGAAACCAACAGGGAUUGCCCUAGUAACGGCGAGUGAAGCGGCAAGAGCUCAAAUUUGAAAGCUGGCUCCUUCGGGGUCCGCAUUGUAAUUUGCAGAGGAUGCUUCGGGAGUGGCCCCUGUCUAAGUGCCCUGGAACGGGCCGUCAUAGAGGGUGAAAAUCCCGUAUGGGAUGGGGUGUCCACGCCCGUGUGAAGCUCCUUCGACGAGUCGAGUUGUUUGGGAAUGCAGCUCUAAAUGGGUGGUAAAUUUCAUCUAAAGCUAAAUAUUGGCCGGAGACCGAUAGCGCACAAGUAGAGUGAUCGAAAGAUGAAAAGCACUUUGAAAAGAGAGUUAAAAAGCACGUGAAAUUGUUGAAAGGGAAGCGUUUGCGACCAGACUCGCCCUUGGGGUUCAGCCGGCUUUCGGGCCGGUGUACUUCCCCGAGGGCGGGCCAACGUCGGUUUGGGCGGCCGGUCAAAGGCCCUUGGAAUGUAACGCCUCUCGGGGCGUCUUAUAGCCAAGGGUGCCAUGCGGCCUGCCCGGACCGAGGAACGCGCUUCGGCUCGGACGUUGGCAUAAUGGUCGUAAACGACCCGUCUUGAAACACGGACCAAGGAGUCUAACAUCUACGCGAGUGUUCGGGUGUCAAACCCGUGCGCGCAGUGAAAGCGAACGGAGGUGGGAACCCUUACGGGUGCACCAUCGACCGAUCCUGAUGUCUUCGGAUGGAUUUGAGUAAGAGCGUAGCUGUUGGGACCCGAAAGAUGGUGAACUAUGCCUGAAUAGGGCGAAGCCAGAGGAAACUCUGGUGGAGGCUCGCAGCGGUUCUGACGUGCAAAUCGAUCGUCAAAUUUGGGUAUAGGGGCGAAAGACUAAUCGAACCAUCUAGUAGCUGGUUCCUGCC